ensembl:lncRNA
CUCGCUACAUGGAUAGUCAAUGGUAAUGCUAAUGUUGCUACUCGCUAGCGUUAGCUAACGUUAUGCUAAAGAUAGUCCUGUUCGAGGCAUUAUUUUCGUCGAGCAGAGGUUUUUAAAGGACUAGCAAAAACGAGCAAUGCUAAGGUUAGCUAAUGUUUCUACUCGCGUUAUGCUAGUGAGGGCAACUUUUAUCUUAAGUGUAACUGUCAUUCUUGAUCGGUAAUUUUAAAUGUAUAAGUACAGACUUAAAUUAGACCACAUGGUCAACUUCUUAAUUAGCUAGGAUAACCUAGCUGUUAAGCUAGUAGUUAAGGCAAAAGUUUACUGCAGUUUUUUUGCUGACCGUGCACAAAUUUGCUCUGUGCUUAUUAUUUAGAACGCAGCACUUGAUCAAGUCAGGAACGUGAAUGUUCAUGUUUUCUAAAUCAAGCUGAGAAAAAGGUAACGUUAAACUGCUCGGUUAUACCAGCAUGGGAGUUUUUCGCACAUCAUUGACUUGUCACCUUCUCCACACGAACACGGGUAUUUUUAUAACCGUGACUUUUUGUACGCGGUUCGGCCUUCCGUCCACACGGAAAGGCAGUUUCAGGGCACAGAAACAUUUUUGAAAACUCCGGCCAGGGUAUUGGGUGUUCCUGUAAAGGAUCUACACUUUGCUUUGUGCUCUGUAUCAAAGGCUCUGUAGUAAAUGUGAAUGUGGCAGUGUAAGGGGUGUUCAGUAGCAGUUGCAAGUAGGUCCGAGCUACUUAACCAUUACAAACUCAAACAUCCACAUUUUGGACGUACUGUCCGCUAUCCAUGUACAUAUUGGAAAUGUCCAUGCUCAUUCAAGACAUGGAAUGCUUUAAUCGUUCAUCAAAGAGUGCAUUCCACACACGUUUGUCACACUCAAAAAGAGCUGUAUACUUUCAGCUGUCACUUAUGUACAUGUAAACAUUUAUCAAAUGAAAGGGAGUUCUUUGUUCAUAUCAACACCCAUCUGAGGAAAAAUGAAAACGUUUGUUGGCUGUAGUUUUCAAACUAGCAUUUAUGGAACCUUUAAGUCUCAUAAGAGCCGCCAACACACACCUCACACACUAACUAAACAACAACAUUACCACCUCCAUCAGUACAGGAUUCAAUUGCUGAUUGCCAGGAUGAUGAGUCUGUAGACGAGGAAGUUUCUGGGACAUCCCUAGAUCCAGGUCAACAGCAGGACUUCCUUCAUCCAAGCCAUGGAGGAGGCCUGUGACCAGAUGGAGGUAGCAGCAAUGCAAGGAUGGAUUCGUCAUUCAAGACGUUUCUUUCCAAGGCGCAGGGAGGCGACCCUUUUGUCACUCCAAUGUAGCAGCACUCAGCCGGGGACUUAUGAGUGCGCCUCACACCAUGGGCCACUCCAGAGUAGAAUAGUGUCCAUCCCCUAUCCAGGAGUGUGGUUCCAGAGCCGAGGCUGUGCGUAGAGGUAAGCCCCACCAGAUCCAACUGAUAACGCUCCACCUCCCGCACAAGCUCCGGCUCCUUCCCCCCCCACAGAGGUUAGGUUCCACGUCCACAGAGCCAGCCUCUGCCUCCCAGGUCUGUUCCGUCUAGACCCCCCACGGUCACUGCCACCCUUGUAGCAGCGUGGGUUUCCCCCACAGGUGGUGAGCCCAUGGGGAGUAGAGUCUUGGGUUGCUGCGUCACUCCUUCAGGCUGUCCCCGGCCGGGCUCCGCGGCAAGCCCGGCCACCAGACGCUCGCUGUCGGGCCCUCCAUCUGGGCCUGGCUCCAAAUGGGGGCCCUGGGCUUCCUCCGGGCCGGGUAACUCCUUCCCUCUUCAGUUUUUUUUAAUAGGGUCAUGAAUAAUAACGGAGUAUAUUUUUAGAUGCCACGUAGAUGCUCUUAUUGCCAGUCUCAGGCGGUUAAGAGGGUGUGGGAUGGUUGUGAGCGAAUGACGCCUGAAAAUCCUCACCUUGUUUCUAUAGGUAUGUAGCCAUCUCCUUUCCUUUAUUGCCGUCCUGUGUACAUUAUUUUGUGUGUUCAACUGGAUGAUAUUUUGUCAUUUUUAUUUUACUUUCAUUGACAGCUCCUGAAAUAGGACGUCGUCAUGCAGUGAAGCCAUGGCCAAUUUCCACCUUCACUGGAAAGCAAAAAAAGUAUAAGUUUUCCUUAUGGUUGAAAUGCACUAAAUGACACGUAAUGUUUGUUAGUUUGUACUGCUUGUAGGAGCCUCCCAUCUGCGAAGCAUUGUCGAUGGUUUUGUGGUGACUCCAGCAGAUCUUUCCAUUGGCAUCAUGUCUACUCUGGGGGCCUGUGCAAAGCACUUACGGACUGAGGUGCUGAAUGCUGUUGUGCCCGGUCAUCCAGAUGUUGUUGUCCUUUUGGGGCCAGGAAAUGACUUGACCUGGGGUAAUACAUCUUCAGAUGUUGUGUAAUUUGUUAGCUUGAGUUAGGAAUUGAGAAAAUUGAUUUACUGAACAUCUAUAUAUUUUUUUGGUGGUAGUGGUGGAUUUUCCUCAGAUACCAAGGUUUGUCCUCACAUGAGCUUUGGUGCAGAGACAAUUUGAGUUAAAUAUGCAGAUGUGUAGAAGUGUGAUUUACACAAAUAGUUAGAUUGUAGCUAUCCAGAUCCAUAUUGAUUGACACCAUACGUGUAGAGGCUAGUGAAUUGGCUGUAACAUCUAAAGAAUUGGGUGUGUUUCUGAAACAGAACGCUGUGUUUGACAUAAGCGGGGGCAGUUGAUUUGGGCAAGCCAGAGAGGUACAGCUUGCAGGGGUUGACCAAUGAGUCUGUGGUAAAGGAAAAGAUGAAAUGUUCGAUAGAGAUGGAAUGCGUUAUUGUGCCUUAAUGGAGCAGUCAGUCACACGAAAAGUACUUUGUGGUUGUAGAUUUUGCCGUACGUAAUGACUCUGGGCUGUCAUGUGAAUUUGGCCGGUCUGUGGCACACCAUGUCAGGCAGCUGUGAUGGUGACAGCAGUGGUGACAUGAAUGUUGCAAUUGAUUUUCAGGCAAGCAGUUCUGUCGACAACAGCAUGAAUGUUUCAACUGAUGUUGAAGGAAGCAGUUCUGUCAGGGACGAUAGGAGUAUAAGGAGAUCCUUUCACCAGGGUGAUGACAGGUUUGAGUUUGGAGGAGUUCAGUGCAUGGCCACAGCACUGUUUCGUAUGGCAAAACAGUCAAGAGAGUGUUUUGUCAUUUAGGUGUCAGUUGUACAAAGAUUUGCGAAAAGAAAUCUUCAGCAGCAGGUCUGGUUGGUUGUGUGUUUCUGAUUUUCCCAAGCAGAGACUUGUUGACGGACAAGAGUUUACCUUUCAUUAGGGUAGGGACUUUGUGUCAGGAGAUGUUGUUGAAGGUAUACUCAGAAUGGUAGCUACUCCGGUCUUCUGACGCUGUGUUGCAAUACAUGCGCAAUCAUUCGUGACAAUGGACAGUAUGCAGUGGUUGACUCGCAUGCACGCAAUGCUUGUGGCAUGGUUUAUGGAGAGGGAAAGUGUUCUUGUAUAUUUUUCUUCAAUGGAAGGUGUAUUCCAGGACAUUUUCCUUUUAGUCUCAAGGGUUUGGUAAUCAGCUAAAGUCUUUUGCGAUAAGUGGUGUUCGUGUCACAGACUGCCUCCGUUUGAAAAACCAACAGCUCUGUGUACCAAUCCUAUAACAUUUGGAAAUGCUUUGUCCGAAGUCUGUUCAGAACGCGUUGGGAUCAAAUGUACAAAAGCUGAACGAUAAAACAUCUCAAGCCAAUUCAGAUGUUGAAUUUAUCCAUGAAGUUGUACAAAACAACCUGAAGCAUGUCACAAGCUCUAUGCAAAGAUUUAAAAAUGAAAUAUGCAAAAACAAAGUUGAUCCUACAUGUUUUGGUUCCAUUGGGAGUUCCAUGUAAAAAAAAGUAAUUGCUUCUUUAUACAAUACUGGAUAGAAAAAUUGUGUGUCCUGCUACUUUUUUGGAAUGGACAUAAUAGGCCUUACGAUUCCUGCACUGUCAAAAAAGUUGAUGGCCAAAGCCUUUAUAAUGUUU